UGUUGGUUCUUAUCUGGUCAAUAAAGGGCUUUAUUUUUAAAUACUGGUGGAUGCAAUAGAACUGGCCUUGAUGGCUAUGCAGGAAGUUAAGCAUCUAAUGGUUGUCACCUUGCUAUUUACUCGCUGUAGCUCUCUGUCUCAGUGUAGAGAGUGUUUGUCUAGUUAGAGGUUUAACUGACCAGAAGUUAGUGCGGCAAACACGGACAUAAUGAAAGAAGUUAAACAUGAGGGCUGCUUACUGGUACACAGGGCAUGAUGCCUGUGUAUGCGGGAACUGCAUCCGUGGGACUACAUGAGCAACAUAGAGCGAUGAUACUACUGGGUAAUACUACGAAAUGACUCCUCUCAUCUGUGGAGUCGCUGUAUGCUUCGGCACUAGAUCUUGCCGUCAGAAUCUCUGUCUGUGGCGCCGCACUGCAAAACUAGAGUAGUUUUGCCACAAAAUUGUGUGAAUUUAUAUACAACUUCAUCCAACAAUAACAAUUUCAACCCAAGGUGUUGUUGCAUCUUUGUUCUUAAUGCUCGCUACAAUAAAAAUAAAAAGAUAGUGAAAACGUGCUGAACUUAUUGCUGGUACUUUUUGCAUGUUCAGUAAUUGCAGCUAAUGCCAUUUAAGCAACGAAACGAGUUCUGCGAAAUGCAUGCAUUGUUGACGGUGAUGAACUGCCUAGCUGUUCACAGGAAUUUUAGGUGUGGUGUAGGCGAUGAAUGCGCCAGUGGGCAGAAUGAUGACACAACCAGAGCAGAGCUCUCAGCUUUAUGUACACGAAGCAUUUUUAUAGCUCACACUUAUUUGCGUAAUCUUCACUUUUCUUUCAUUGCAUAGCACUGCAGACAGCAGUCCUGACAGUGAAAGUAGGUGUCAAAGCAUGUCAUGACAGACAGAGCAAGAGCAGACUAGUCGUCUUGUAAAUGUAGCUGUGUAUACUACCAUCAACCCAGUCUCAAAC